CUACCGCGGGGUGUGCCCACCUGCGCGCGGCCAGCGGAGGCAUAGACAGCGUUGCCAGACCUCUUUUUGCACGCUAAAUGUUAGCGGAGUACUCGUUUUUGAGGGCAACAAUGCGGAUCUCUAUGGCAACGUAAGUGAGAACGCCUCGGGCGUGGCGUUCGUCUGCUCUCAUGGCCUCCGCAUUGCUCGCCGAGCAGGAAAUAUGUCCACUUGGGGCGAGCGAAGACGACGACGAUUUAGGGCAUCUACUGAUUGCGGAACAAGAUUUGUUUCGUGAGCAUCUGCCUCACUUGGGCACCACGACUUGCUUCUGUAAUUCUUCGACUAUGUUCUCUUAAUCUGAUGCCAGCAUACUUUUGCAGGAUCACUUUCGCCAGUGAAAUUAUGUGAUCAGGCUCCUCUGCAUAGUGCUGGCACAGUGGUAGCUUGUCACCGUGUGUUAGGAUGAAGUGAUUAAACGAUUUCAAAACGAUCACCCGCACUACAAGCUUCACAGACCUCAAUUUCUCUAGACGAAAGGUCUGCUCAGCGCAACACAGCAGACGUGUAACAAAGGAGGAUGGUUUAACCAGCCCUCCAUUGUCCCUGAGCAUGAUGAGAACACUUGAUGUCUCGUCAUCUAGGAGUGUGUCCAAACAACCAUUACAGGUGAGUUUUGAGGAGACAAUUCUAACAACAUAUCCUCCAAUAUAGGCAACAAUGUCCUCGCUGAACCUGCUGAGUCUGGAUGAUUCCCCGUAGUCAUGGUCAGCACACUGUAGAAGGGCACAGAUGUUGUCCUCUGCAGGAACUUCUGCAGUGGGAGUCUCCUCACCUGCACUUUCCUCCCUUCGCGGCUUGCCCUGGUGACCGAGUGUCUCUAUGCCUUCCACUGUAGGAGCGACAUUCGCAGAGCUUGGGGCCUGAACUUCAGCAUGUAUCAGAAGCUUCCUGUAGGCAUGACGGAAUUGGGAAGCUGAUGGGUUGUUAUUCCAUCCUCCUCUUUGCCUGAUGCAGCUGAAGAACAGUUCCAAGUGGUCCUGGCUGAGGCGACCUCUACAUGUUACCUGCAUGCGCCCGCCUGGAACAGCGCUUCUGCCAGCUGUGCAACACUUUUCAGCGUAAAGGCCAUGCUGAUGACUGACAUGCGUCUCCCAUGCUGAGCAGCUAGCUCCCCGGAUGGAAGUCGCAGUGUCAUCAUUCUUGACGACAAUUGGCCACAGUCAUGAAAAUGAAAGGCCUACUCAUCUACGUCGGCAAUGAACGAAGCGGUUGCGUCACUUCCUUCAAAUUCGGUCAAUCCCAGGAGCCGUGCGUGGGUCAGGGCUUUGCUCACGGAUGAACUUAGAGUCUGCGCUGCAAGGCGGACCUUCAUGAUCUGGCGGCCAAACUCAAUAUGGGAUCUGGGUCAGUUGCAGCCGUCGACGGACACCACGCAGGUACUGGUUCUUCUCUCGAAGUUGUCUCAUUCCUGUUCUUGGCGUUGUUUUGCUGUGAUAGGUGUGCUCCUUGUGACCCUUGGGUGUGAUCGGGCUGCCCUCAGUAUCUGUGUUGCUCACAGACACCUGCAAAGUUGCCUGUUGGUUAAGGACAGCAUUCCCCAAUAUUUUGCAUUUUAAAAUUACCGGUUGUCGUGUAGGCGUGGUUUCAUUGCAUGUUUCCGGUUGUUGCUGCCCUGCUCUGGGGUCAGGGGACAAAACAUCUACAGAAAUGUCCUCAAGUCGUUGUGUUUUGGGAUCUGGGCUUUCCUGCUGACACUCCUGAAAUGGUAGUAGGAACUGUCGCUGCUCACAGGAAUUGGAAUGCAUUGUUUCGCAGUGGGCUAUAGUCACAAAAGCAAUUUGUCUGUGUUUUCAUGUUUUUCAGCAGCAGAAGAACCUGACAGCAGCAAGCAGCAGGAAUAAGAAAUGACAUACAGACAUAUACUCACUGCUUUCCGCUUUUGUGGCAGCUUACAGUAGGGAUGGUCCUCAUGGUCAAACAGGCAGUGGAACAGCUGAAGAAGGGACGGCGGGCUCUGCUUGCUCAGCACUGGCUUCAAGCAUUUCCUGGAAAACAUGGAGUGAAGGCAGUCAUACAGGGGGGUGGCUGCACAAACUACUAUGUACUUACCAGGGAAACUGUGUCAGCACCACUUUCAUCUCUUUCAUCUGGCUGGCUGGCUGUUACUUGGCUCUAAAAAAGUUCUUCCAUUAUUAUCUCCUUUUGUAUCAUUUUAAAAGUAAUAAAGAAUAACCGGAUA